GGUGAACGCUGGCGGCGUGCCUAAUACAUGCAAGUAGAACGCUGAAGGAGGAGCUUGCUCUUCUGGAUGAGUUGCGAACGGGUGAGUAACGCGUAGGUAACCUGCCUGGUAGCGGGGGAUAACUAUUGGAAACGAUAGCUAAUACCGCAUGACAACAGUUAUUGCAUGAUAACUGUUUAAAAGGGGCAACUGCUCCACUACCAGAUGGACCUGCGUUGUAUUAGCUAGUUGGUGAGGUAACGGCUCACCAAGGCGACGAUACAUAGCCGACCUGAGAGGGUGAUCGGCCACACUGGGACUGAGACACGGCCCAGACUCCUACGGGAGGCAGCAGUAGGGAAUCUUCGGCAAUGGACGGAAGUCUGACCGAGCAACGCCGCGUGAGUGAAGAAGGUUUUCGGAUCGUAAAGCUCUGUUGUAAGAGAAGAACGAGUGUGAGAGUGGAAAGUUCACACUGUGACGGUAUCUUACCAGAAAGGGACGGCUAACUACGUG
rnacentral:rRNA from 1 species